UAAGCGGAGGAAAAGAAACUAACAAGGAUUCCCCUAGUAACGGCGAGUGAAGCGGGAAGAGCUCAAAUUUGAAAUCUGAUGGCCUCAGGCUAUCCGAGUUGUAAUCUAUAGGAACGUUUUCCGUGCCGGCUCAUGUACAAGUCCCUUGGAACAGGGCGUCAUAGAGGGUGAGAAUCCCGUACUUGACAUGAACUACCGGUGCUCUGUGAUACGUCUCCAACGAGUCGAGUUGUUUGGGAAUGCAGCUCAAAAUGGGUGGUAAAUUCCAUCUAAAGCUAAAUAUUGGUGUGAGACCGAUAGCGAACAAGUACCGUGAGGGAAAGAUGAAAAGCACUUUGGAAAGAGAGUUAAAAAGUAUGUGAAAUUGUUGAAAGGGAAACGAUUGAAGUCAGUCAUGUCCUUCAGAUUCAGCUGGUUCUGCCGGUGUAUUUCUGUUGGAUGGGGUCAACAUCAGUUUUGGAUGCCGGAUAAAGGCUGGAGGAAGGUAGUACCCCCGGGUAAACUUAUAGCCUCCUGUCGCAUACGGUGACCGGGACUGAGGAACGCAGCUUGCCUUUAUGGCCGGGGUUCGCCCACGUACAAGCUUAGGAUGUUGACAUAAUGGCUUUAAACGACCCGUCUUGAAACACG
rnacentral:rRNA from 1 species